CGCUUGGUAGCUUAACUGGAAAAGCAAUAGCCCUCAGGCUGGAGUUGGUGGUUCGAGUCCACCCCUAGACGG
rnacentral:tRNA from 1 species